rnacentral:rRNA from 1 species
GUCCACGCCCUAAACGAUGAAUACUCGAUGUUGGCGAUACACAGUCAGCGUCUAAGCGAAAGCAUUAAGUAUUCCACCUGGGGAGUACGGUCGCAAGACUGAAACUCAAAGGAAUUGACGGGGGCCCCGCACAAGCGGAGGAGCAUGUGGUUUAAUUCGAUGAUACGCGAGGAACCUUACCUGGGCUUGAAAGUUAGUGAAUUCCGCAGAAACGCGGGAGGCCGAAAGGACACGAAACUAGGUGCUGCAUGGCUGUCGU